rnacentral:rRNA from 1 species
GGGUUGUGAGGUUAAGCGACUAAGCGUACACGGUGGAUGCCCUGGCAGUCAGAGGCGAUGAAGGACGUGCUAAUCUGCGAUAAGCGUCGGUAAGGUGAUAUGAACCGUUAUAACCGGCGAUUUCCGAAUGGGGAAACCCAGUGUGAUUCGUCACACUAUCAUUAACUGAAUCCAUAGGUUAAUGAGGCGAACCGGGGGAACUGAAACAUCUAAGUACCCCGAGGAAAAGAAAUCAACCGAGAUUCCCCCAGUAGCGGCGAGCGAACGGGGAGGAGCCCAGAGCCUGAAUCAGUGUGUGUGUUAGUGGAAGCGUCUGGAAAGGCGCGCGAUACAGGGUGACAGCCCCGUACACAAAAAUGCACAUGCUGUGAGCUCGAUGAGUAGGGCGGGACACGUGGUAUCCUGUCUGAAUAUGGGGGGACCAUCCUCCAAGGCUAAAUACUCCUGACUGACCGAUAGUGAACCAGUACCGUGAGGGAAAGGCGAAAAGAACCCCGGCGAGGGGAGUGAAAAAGAACCUGAAACCGUGUACGUACAAGCAGUGGGAGCACGCUUAGGCGUGUGACUGCGUACCUUUUGUAUAAUGGGUCAGCGACUUAUAUUCUGUAGCAAGGUUAACCGAAUAGGGGAGCCGAAGGGAAACCGAGUCUUAACUGGGCGUUAAGUUGCAGGGUAUAGACCCGAAACCCGGUGAUCUAGCCAUGGGCAGGUUGAAGGUUGGGUAACACUAACUGGAGGACCGAACCGACUAAUGUUGAAAAAUUAGCGGAUGACUUGUGGCUGGGGGUGAAAGGCCAAUCAAACCGGGAGAUAGCUGGUUCUCCCCGAAAGCUAUUUAGGUAGCGCCUCGUGAAUUCAUCUCCGGGGGUAGAGCACUGUUUCGGCAAGGGGGUCAUCCCGACUUACCAACCCGAUGCAAACUGCGAAUACCGGAGAAUGUUAUCACGGGAGACACACGGCGGGUGCUAACGUCCGUCGUGAAGAGGGAAACAACCCAGACCGCCAGCUAAGGUCCCAAAGUCAUGGUUAAGUGGGAAACGAUGUGGGAAGGCCCAGACAGCCAGGAUGUUGGCUUAGAAGCAGCCAUCAUUUAAAGAAAGCGUAAUAGCUCACUGGUCGAGUCGGCCUGCGCGGAAGAUGUAACGGGGCUAAACCAUGCACCGAAGCUGCGGCAGCGACGCUUAUGCGUUGUUGGGUAGGGGAGCGUUCUGUAAGCCUGUGAAGGUGUACUGUGAGGUAUGCUGGAGGUAUCAGAAGUGCGAAUGCUGACAUAAGUAACGAUAAAGCGGGUGAAAAGCCCGCUCGCCGGAAGACCAAGGGUUCCUGUCCAACGUUAAUCGGGGCAGGGUGAGUCGACCCCUAAGGCGAGGCCGAAAGGCGUAGUCGAUGGGAAACAGGUUAAUAUUCCUGUACUUGGUGUUACUGCGAAGGGGGGACGGAGAAGGCUAUGUUGGCCGGGCGACGGUUGUCCCGGUUUAAGCGUGUAGGCUGGUUUUCCAGGCAAAUCCGGAAAAUCAAGGCUGAGGCGUGAUGACGAGGCACUACGGUGCUGAAGCAACAAAUGCCCUGCUUCCAGGAAAAGCCUCUAAGCAUCAGGUAACAUCAAAUCGUACCCCAAACCGACACAGGUGGUCAGGUAGAGAAUACCAAGGCGCUUGAGAGAACUCGGGUGAAGGAACUAGGCAAAAUGGUGCCGUAACUUCGGGAGAAGGCACGCUGAUAUGUAGGUGAAGUCCCUCGCGGAUGGAGCUGAAAUCAGUCGAAGAUACCAGCUGGCUGCAACUGUUUAUUAAAAACACAGCACUGUGCAAACACGAAAGUGGACGUAUACGGUGUGACGCCUGCCCGGUGCCGGAAGGUUAAUUGAUGGGGUUAGCGCAAGCGAAGCUCUUGAUCGAAGCCCCGGUAAACGGCGGCCGUAACUAUAACGGUCCUAAGGUAGCGAAAUUCCUUGUCGGGUAAGUUCCGACCUGCACGAAUGGCGUAAUGAUGGCCAGGCUGUCUCCACCCGAGACUCAGUGAAAUUGAACUCGCUGUGAAGAUGCAGUGUACCCGCGGCAAGACGGAAAGACCCCGUGAACCUUUACUAUAGCUUGACACUGAACAUUGAGCCUUGAUGUGUAGGAUAGGUGGGAGGCUUUGAAGUGUGGACGCCAGUCUGCAUGGAGCCGACCUUGAAAUACCACCCUUUAAUGUUUGAUGUUCUAACGUUGACCCGUAAUCCGGGUUGCGGACAGUGUCUGGUGGGUAGUUUGACUGGGGCGGUCUCCUCCUAAAGAGUAACGGAGGAGCACGAAGGUUGGCUAAUCCUGGUCGGACAUCAGGAGGUUAGUGCAAUGGCAUAAGCCAGCUUGACUGCGAGCGUGACGGCGCGAGCAGGUGCGAAAGCAGGUCAUAGUGAUCCGGUGGUUCUGAAUGGAAGGGCCAUCGCUCAACGGAUAAAAGGUACUCCGGGGAUAACAGGCUGAUACCGCCCAAGAGUUCAUAUCGACGGCGGUGUUUGGCACCUCGAUGUCGGCUCAUCACAUCCUGGGGCUGAAGUAGGUCCCAAGGGUAUGGCUGUUCGCCAUUUAAAGUGGUACGCGAGCUGGGUUUAGAACGUCGUGAGACAGUUCGGUCCCUAUCUGCCGUGGGCGCUGGAGAACUGAGGGGGGCUGCUCCUAGUACGAGAGGACCGGAGUGGACGCAUCACUGGUGUUCGGGUUGUCAUGCCAAUGGCACUGCCCGGUAGCUAAAUGCGGAAGAGAUAAGUGCUGAAAGCAUCUAAGCACGAAACUUGCCCCGAGAUGAGUUCUCCCUGACUCCUUGAGAGUCCUGAAGGAACGUUGAAGACGACGACGUUGAUAGGCCGGGUGUGUAAGCGCAGCGAUGCGUUGAGCUAACCGGUACUAAUGAACCGUGAGGCUUAACCUUACAACGCCGAAGGGGUUUUG